CCUACGAGAGGCAGCAGUGAGGAAUAUUGGUCAAUGGACGCGAGUCUGAACCAGCCUAGUAGCGUGAAGGAUGACUGCCCUAUGGGUUGUAAACUUCUUUUAUAAAGGAAUAAAACGAGGCACGUGUGCCUUUUUGCAUGUACUUUAUGAAUAAGGAUCGGCUAACACCGUGCCAGCAGCCGCGGUAAUACGGAGGAACAGACGGUUAUCCGGUUUGAUUGGGUUUAAAGGGAGCGUAGAUGGGUUGUUAAGUCAGUUGUGAAAGUUUGCGGCUCAACCGUAAAAUUGCAAUUGAUACUGGCAGUCUUGAGUGCAGUUGACGUAGGCGGAAUUCGUGGUGUAGCGGUGAAAUGCUUAGAUAGCACGAAGAACCCCGAUGGCGAAGGCAGCUUACUAAACUGUGACUGACAUUGAUGCUCGAAAGUGUGGGUAGCGAACAGGAUUAGAUACCCUGGUAGUC
rnacentral:rRNA from 1 species